rnacentral:rRNA from 1 species
GACGAACGCUGGCGGCGUGCCUAAUACAUGCAAGUAGAACGCACAGUUUAUACCGUAGCUUGCUACACCAUAAACUGUGAGUUGCGAACGGGUGAGUAACGCGUAGGUAACCUGCCUGGUAGCGGGGGAUAACUAUUGGAAACGAUAGCUAAUACCGCAUAAUAUUAAUUAUUGCAUGAUAAUUGAUUGAAAGAUGCAAUUGCAUCACUACCAGAUGGACCUGCGUUGUAUUAGCUAGUAGGUGAGGUAACGGCUCACCUAGGCGACGAUACAUAGCCGACCUGGGAGGGUGGUCGGCCACACUGGGACUGGGACACGGCCCAGACUCCUACGGGAGGCAGCAGUAGGGAAUCUUCGGCAAUGGACGAAAGUCUGACCGAGCAACGCCGCGUGAGUGAAGAAGGUUUUCGGAUCGUAAAGCUCUGUUGUAAGAGAAGAACGGGUGUGAGAGUGGAAAGUUCACACUGUGACGGUAUCUUACCAGAAAGGGACGGCUAACUACGUG